GGAUGGGUGGCCGAGCGGUCGAAGGCACCGGUCUUGAAAACCGGCAGGGGUUAACGCUCCUCGUGGGUUCGAAUCCCACCCCAUCCGCCA
rnacentral:tRNA from 1 species